UACGUAGGGAGCAAGCGUUGUCCGGAAUUACUGGGUGUAAAGGGAGCGUAGGCGGGAUAGUAAGUUGAUUGUUAAAACUAUCGGCUCAACUGGUAGAUGCGAUCAAAACUGCAAUUCUUGAGUGAAGUAGAGGCAGGCGGAAUUCCUAGUGUAGCGGUGAAAUGCGUAGAUAUUAGGAGGAACACCAGUGGCGAAGGCGGCCUGCUGGGCUUUAACUGACGCUGAGGCUCGAAAGUGUGGGUAGCAAACAGG
rnacentral:rRNA from 1 species